rnacentral:rRNA from 1 species
UCCGGUUGAUCCUGCCGGACCUGACUGCUAUCGGAUUGAUACUAAGCCAUGCGAGUCUUUGCAGUAAUGCAAGGCAUACGGCUCAGUAACACGUAGUCAACUUACCCUAUGGACGAGGAUAAUCUCGGGAAACUGAGCAUAAUACUCGAUAGAUCAUAAUGCCUGGAAUGGUUUAUGGUUAAAAUGAUUCGUCGCCAUAGGAUGGGACUGCGGCCUAUCAGCUUGUUGGUGAGGUAAUGGCCCACCAAGGCGAUUACAGGUACGGGCUCUGAGAGGAGAAGCCCGGAGAUGGGUACUGAGACAAGGACCCAGGCCCUAUGGGGCGCAGCAGGCGAGAAAACUUUGCAAUGUGCGAAAGCACGACAAGGUUAAUCCGAGUGAUUUCUGCUAAAGAAAUCUUUUGCAAGUCAUAAAACCACUAGUGAAUAAGGGGUGGGCAAGUUCUGGUGUCAGCCGCCGCGGUAAAACCAGCACCUCAAGUGGUCAGGAGGAUUAUUGGGCCUAAAGCAUCCGUAGCCGGCUCUGUAAGUUUUCGGUUAAAUCCAUGUGCUCAACGCAUGGGCUGCCGAAAAUACUGCAUAGCUAGGGAGUGGGAGAGGUAGACGGUACUCGGUAGGAAGGGGUAAAAUCCUUUGAUCUAUCGAUGACCACCUGUGGCGAAGGCGGUCUACCAGAACACGUUCGACGGUGAGGGAUGAAAGCUGGGGGAGCAAACCGGAUUAGAUACCCGGGUAGUCCCAGCUGUAAACGAUGCAGACUCGAUGAUGCAUUGGCAUAUAGCCAGUGCAGUGUCGCAGGGAAGCCGUUAAGUCUGCCGCCUGGGAAGUACGUACGCAAGUAUGAAACUUAAAGGAAUUGGCGGGGGAGCACCACAAGGGGUGAAGCCUGCGGUUCAAUUGGAUUCAACGCCG